rfam:Chlamydophila pneumoniae AR39, complete genome.
GGGGCGGUAGCUCAGUGGUUAGAGCUGCGGACUCAUAACCCGUAGGUCACAGGUUCAAAUCCUGUCCGCCCCA